rnacentral:rRNA from 1 species
UUUGGUAACCUAGAGAUAGGGCUUUCCCUUCGGGGACAGAGUGACAGGUGGUGCAUGGUUGUCGUCAGCUCGUGUCGUGAGAUGUUGGGUUAAGUCCCGCAACGAGCGCAACCCUUGAUCUUAGUUGCCAGCAUUCAGUUGGGCACUCUAAGGUGACUGCCGGUGACAAACCGGAGGAAGGUGGGGAUGACGUCAAAUCAUCAUGCCCCUUAUGACCUGGGCUACACACGUGCUACAAUGGACAGAACAAAGGGCUGCGAGACCGCAAGGUUUAGCCAAUCCCACAAAUCUGUUCUCAGUUCGGAUCGCAGUCUGCAACUCGACUGCGUGAAGCUGGAAUCGCUAGUAAUCGCGGAUCAGCAUGCCGCGGUGAAUACGUUCCCGGGUCUUGUACACACCGA